ACUGCUAUUAUUUUAGACAUUUCCCAUACCAAUGAAAACUCAAACAGAUACCCACUCAUCUCACAUUUAUCUAUUUCCAAAGCAUGGCCUCUACCCAUCCUUGAAGAAAAAAAAAAUGGCAGUCACGCAGAUUGAACAUUUAUCAGAGAUGAUAUUUUACCUUUCUCUCAUCUCUGAUUCUUGGAAAAAAUAGCAUUCAUAUCUGAUUCGAAUUCACAGGGAUUCCCUGAUAUUUUACCUCUCUCAUCGAAGAUGGCUUCACGCAGAUUGGUAUCUCUGAUUCGAUCUUUCCUUCGUCGAUCUUCAUCGAAGCCAUCAAUCACCGCCUCAACAACGAGGUUAACCUCCCAAUCUCGCGUUUCACCUUAUGGCUACCUCCUAAACCGCGUCGCUGAUUAUGCAAUCGUGGCCGCCGCCGCACCUGCUCCGUUUGCGUUUCCGGCAAAGGAGGAGGUUUCCAGAGAUGAUCAAUCCAAAUAUGUAUUGUGUUUUGCUGGUGCUCUGACAUCCACAUGGAGAAGUAGCUUCGUAGGAUUGAUCCAAUAACUGAUACUUUUUUUUAGCAGAAAGUGUGACUGUUGAGAAUUUUCAAUUGAGUUUUUUUUAUCUGUGUGCUCCGUCGCUAGAAGAGGCAGAGGAAAAAGAAUUGACAUUUCUCACUGUUGGUUUUCUUAGCACAAUAUAGAACAAAAAAUGUGUCGAGGUGUGUAGCCGGAGUUGAGGGAAAGAAGAAGGGUUCAACAUUCACCAUCAUGGGCAUUGUUCUCUGUUUAUAAGUUUCUUUAAGAGAGGAUUAAGACGAGAAUGCAAGUACCACCGUGUUUGUUUUAUGAGUGGAGUUGGUGCCCCGGGAGUCUUUUGUAUGUUUUAUGAGUGUCUUUUGUGGAAAUGUUGCUGCUGUCCUAUGGUGUUUUAGAGUGCUUCGGCUGUGGGGUGGUCCGAGUACCGUUUUUGGUGCUGCUCUCAUGACCGAACAGCAGCUGUUGGUGAUGUUUUCUGUCUAUUGCGCAUGUCUGCUGUUGUUUUGAUCUGGGCAGCUGCUGUCUAUGUUGGGAGCUUUCCUGGGAUAUUUUUGGGUUGGAAGAGGCAUAGCUAUGGGAUUGAAUUUUGGUGAUUGUAAUUUGAUUUCAUAGUCAUAGCUUACCCAUGGUUGAAAAUCAUAGCAUGCAAACUGUCUCCGAGAUAAACUGUGCCGAUCAAUUGUUGUGAGGUGUAAAAUGAAUAUAUCAAACUAUCACGUGCAAUGCGAAGCUGAAGGAAACAUGCACACCUGAGUUGUAUAUCAAACAGUUAUAUAUAAGGUCUCGAAAAAUAUUAUGCUUUACCAGAUUUUGUUUCAAAAUCUAUUUCCCAAAUCAAAUUAUUAUUGCUGUGACUUAGGCCUAUCAUGUAAAGUAAUUGUGGCAAAAUUUGACUUUAGUUGAAGUUAUUUUAUUAAGAUGUAUUGUAUUGUUAGUUCCUUAUUA